rnacentral:rRNA from 1 species
UACGAAGGGUGCAAGCGUUACUCGGAAUUACUGGGCGUAAAGCGUGCGUAGGUGGUUCGUUAAGUCUGCCGUGAAAGCCCCGGGCUCAACCUGGGAAUGGCGGUGGAUACUGGCGGACUAGAGUGCGGUAGAGGGUGGUGGAAUUCCCGGUGUAGCAGUGAAAUGCGUAGAGAUCGGGAGGAACAUCUGUGGCGAAGGCGGCCAUCUGGACGGAUACUGACGCUGAGACGCGAAAGCGUGGGUAGCAAACAGG